UUCACUAAAAUAUUUUCCCCCAUCUUCCAAUAUCUGUCAUAAUCAACACUUAGGGUAAAAUUUACCCCUUUCCCUCCAAAAAUAAGAACCCUAACAGUGCAAUUGUCUUCUUCCCUUGCAAAAUUGAAGUGAAAAAAGAGUUUUAAAUGAACAAGUGAAGUGUGACAGGUUAGGGUUUUCCUUUUAUUGUUUAAAGUUGACUUUUUUUUGUUGCAUCCCAUGAUCUGUUGCUAAAUACAGAUUUUUUUUUAUUUUUUUUGUUGCUAAAACGUGUUUUUUUGUUGUCACCUAUUGAUUUUUUGUUGUCACCUACUGAUUGCAUUGUGAUCUGUUUAGUUCGAUUUUUUUGUUAGUGUGUUUGUAAAUGUUUGUUUGUUUUGCUAUAUUUCAGGGUGUUAUAACAUGUCUUUUAUAUUAGUGACUUUGAGAUUUUACCAUGGGGGUAGAAUUGAUUUUGAUGCCCGACCAGAAUAUGUGGGUGGGUCUAUUACAGAAUUUUGGAGCAUGCACUGAUAUGAUGUCCUAUUUUGAACUAAGAGACUUGAUAAAAGAUUUAGGAUAUACAACAAAUUAUGCUUUUUAUGUUAAGGUCGAUGGUUAUUUGGUUGAAGUUGUAAGUGAUACAGUUAUUUGUAACAUUGUCUCUUUGUUAAAAAAAUGGGGAUGUGCUGGAGAUUUUUGUGUCACAUGAGGUAAAUGAACCCUCUGUUGCCUCAUUGGCUUUAAAGUUUGUCCCCCAAAGUGGUGGUGGUGGGGUCUUUGAGGAAUCUUCAAUCCCCACUUUAAAUGACCCUCCUAACCCUAUUGUUCAGCCUCCAAACCCUUUAAAUGAGCCUCCAAACCCUAGUAUUCAGCCUCCAAACCCUCUUAACCCUACUGUUGAGCCUCCAAACCCAAAUAGUGAGACAUCAAACAAUCCUAACCAUACUAUUGUGUCUCAAAAUACUUGUGAGGUUAAGUAGAUGAGGACACAGGUGUAAAUGAUGUAGAUGUUGGAUCUGAUGAUGAUAGCAUAGAGAAUUUAGGGGAUUUAUGUGACAGUGAUGUUCAUGAAGAGUGUAGAGAGUUUAGGUCAAAUAGAAGACAUUUUAAUAGGGCACAUAGGAGACCCAGAGCAACUAAUCCUAACCAAAUUCCUAUAAAACCAAAAGGGCCAGAUAUGGGAUAUGAUGAGACUAAUGUUGGGAGCAAGAAUAACUUAGAUGGUAUGCUAGGUGGUGAUGAACCUUAUUACGAUAGUGAUGAAGCUCCUAGCUUUGAAUUAGAUGAUGAAACAGGAUGGGGUGAUGAGGAAGAGGUUGAACAAGUUGUGAAGAAACCUCUAAGAAAAGUGACCAAAAAUAGAGUUGUUUUUGACAAAAGUUGUAAGAAGGCGAAUAUUAAAGCUAUGAAGAUGCUUGGAGAGGAUGGUUUGCAUGCCCUCAUGUACCUAUCUGAGCACAUAUGCUCAUUUUAUUCAGCCAAUGAACAAUAUGAAGAUGUGGCCAACUUCUAAUAAUCCAAGAGUAGAGCCACCAGUAAUCAGACAGCUUCCUGGAAGGCCACCAAAUCAAAAAGGAAGGAGGUCUAUGAAUGUAGAAAAAUAGGACUGAUCAGCAGGAGGGGUGCUGUUAUGACUUGUAGCACUUGUCAUGCAAAGGGACACAAUAAAAGAGGAUGUCCAACAGUUCCAAGGCAAAUCACAGAAACAGCAGAUCAAACAGUAGAGCAAGCACAGACUAGAACAAACAGAGGAAGGGCAAACAAAAGGAGGAUAGAACAGGAAGCUGCAAGUUGUGGAAGGGUCAAUGCAAGUUCAAAUGCUAGUGGUGGUGCAACCUAUCAAAGUCAAGAAACUUAAGGAACAACUAGUGGACAUGCUGCACAACCUUAUAAAAGGCCAAGAAUUGUGGGGGUUGGAAGAUUGAUGGCAGAUGAUGGAUUUACUACACUCAAUCCUGGAAUGCCAAGUAGAAGAGCUCCAAUGAGGUCUGAUGUUGUUACUGGAGAUAUUGACUACACACCCAAACCAGAACUUCAAGUGGAGGGGCAAACAAUCCAUGACAAGUAAUAUACUUGACAAAAUUAGGGGUGAAAGAAUCAUCAAAGGAAGGUCAAAAGUUGCCGCCAUGAAUCAAAGCCAAUGUAGUACAUCUAAAAAACCAUGGAAAUAGUUGGUUUAGUUGUUUUGCUACUGUUUUUGUUGGGUUGCUAUUAGUAAAAAACCAUGGAAAUAGUUGGUUUAGUUAUUCAUAUUUUUGGCUAUGUAUUAAGUGGCAAAACCUAACCUUGUAGCAUUUUAUGCAACAGUUUUUUGGCUAUUGUGCUAUUUUUGUACAGUUAUUGUGUUGUUUUUGUGCAACAAUUAAUGCAGGUAAUGAUAUUCAGCUUAUUUGUGUUGUUUCAUGCA